rnacentral:rRNA from 1 species
CCUACGGGUGGCUGCAGUGGGGAAUAUUGGACAAUGGGCGAAAGCCUGAUCCAGCCAUGCCGCGUGUGUGAAGAAGGCCUUCGGGUUGUAAAGCACUUUCAGUGGGGAAGAAAGCCUUGGGGCUAAUACCCUCGAGGAAGGACAUCACCCACAGAAGAAGCACCGGCUAACUCCAUGCCAGCAGCCGCGGUAAUACGGAGGGUGCGAGCGUUAAUCGGAAUUACUGGGCGUAAAGCGCGCGUAGGCGGUCUGAUAAGCCGGUUGUGAAAGCCCCGGGCUCAACCUGGGAACGGCAUCCGGAACUGUCAGGCUAGAGUGCAGGAGAGGAAGGUAGAAUUCCCGGUGUAGCGGUGAAAUGCGUAGAGAUCGGGAGGAAUACCAGUGGCGAAGGCGGCCUUCUGGACUGACACUGACGCUGAGGUGCGAAAGCGUGGGUAGCAAACAGGAUUAGAUACCCCUGUAGUC